rnacentral:rRNA from 1 species
CGCAGCCGCGGUAAUUCCAGCUCCAAUAGCGUAUAUUAAAGUUGUUGCAGUUAAAAAGCUCGUAGUUGAAUUUCGGGAUCAAUUUAUUGGUCGUGCUAUUGUACGUACUGGUAUUAUUGAUUCCUACCUUCUGACGAACCAUGAUGUCAUUAAUUUGGUGUCAUGGGGAAUCAGGACUGUUACUUUGAAAAAUUAGGGUGUUUAAAGCAGGCUCACGCUUGAAUACAUUAGCAUGGAAUAACGAAAUAGGACGUUUGAUUCUAUUUUGUUGGUUUCUAGGAUCGACGUAAUGAUUAAUAGGGAUAGUUGGGGGCAUUAGUAUUCAAUUGUCAGAGGUGAAAUUCUUGGAUUUAUUGAAGACUAACUACUGCGAAAGCAUUUGCCAAGGAUGUUUUCAUUAAUCAAGAACGAAAGUUAGGGGAUCGAAGACGAUCAGAUACCGUCGUAGUCUUAACCAUAAACUAUGCCGACUAGGGAUCGGAUGAUGUUAAUUUUUAAUGUACUCAUUCGGCGCCUUACG